rnacentral:rRNA from 1 species
ACAGAGGUCCCAAGCGUUGUUCGGAUUCACUGGGCGUAAAGGGUGCGUAGGCGGUCGGGUAAGUCUGAUGUGAAAUCUCACAGCUUAACUGUGAAACUGCAUUGGAUACUAUUCGGCUUGAGAGUUGGAGGAGGGACUGGAAUUCUUGGUGUAGCAGUGAAAUGCGUAGAUAUCAAGAGGAACACCAGUGGCGAAGGCGAGUCCCUGGACAACUUCUGACGCUGAGGCACGAAAGCUAGGGGAGCAAACAGG